UCUACGGGGGGCUGCAGUGGGGAAUAUUGGACAAUGGGGGCAACCCUGAUCCAGCCAUGCCGCGUGUGUGAAGAAGGCCCUCGGGUUGUAAAGCACUUUCAGUGAGGAAGAACGCCUGGUGGUUAAUACCCAUCAGGAAAGACAUCACUCACAGAAGAAGCACCGGCUAACUCCGUGCCAGCAGCCGCGGUAAUACGGAGGGUGCGAGCGUUAAUCGGAAUUACUGGGCGUAAAGCGCGCGUAGGUGGCUUGAUAAGCCGGUUGUGAAAGCCCCGGGCUCAACCUGGGAACGGCAUCCGGAACUGUCAAGCUAGAGUGCAGGAGAGGAAGGUAGAAUUCCCGGUGUAGCGGUGAAAUGCGUAGAGAUCGGGAGGAAUACCAGUGGCGAAGGCGGCCUUCUGGACUGACACUGACACUGAGGUGCGAAAGCGUGGGUAGCAAACAGGAUUAGAUACCCCUGUAGUC
rnacentral:rRNA from 1 species